CGCGAGAUUUCAUGUCAGCCAUUUUUAGAAAAAAAAAAGUGCUGGAAAGAAGAGCAAGAAGAUCGCUGAUAGCUGCCCAGCUGCACAGAGCGCGAGGGCGGAAGAAAGUCCCUCUCUUCUUUUUAACAUGGCGCUUCCCUGCUUCGCUUAGGAUGAUUUUGGAAGCCUCCCAUAGGACUCAAUGGCACCCUGCAG